CCCAGGUCUGGAAUGCUUUAUCGCCAAAUCUAGAGGAAUGUCAUUGUCUGAUCCGACAGCUGAAAAAUGAGGAGGCAGAUUAAAGCUGCUCAGCCUGAAGUGCCUCCGGGUUAAGGCGCUUUCUUGUUCGUCUCCUAAUGAUCUGUUCACCAUUGUUCUGUUUAAUGAUGUUUAAAGGCCUGGGAGUCUGCAUGGAACACACAGAGAAUGAACAAAAGGAAAAAAGAAAGACACAUUAAACAAAUCUGUGAGACCA